rnacentral:tRNA from 1 species
UUUAAAAUAGUUUAUAAAAAACAUAAUAUUGAAGUUAUUAAAAAGAUAUUUUUAUCUUUUAAAA